AAGGGCCCUGGAUCAGACCAAAUACGGGCACGAGCAAGAUGAUUGGCCAGAAACAACCCAGAAGGCUAACGCCACCUCCAUAAACCCUGAGAUUGUGGUCACAGGGCAGAGCAGUUUCUUGGGUUCUCCUAGUUUGCUGCUCGCCACUGGAGCAUCCCUGUGUGUCUCCUCAGACAAUUCAUUUCAGGGUGUUAGACAAGGCCCUGGAAGGGUCGCUCCACCCCCUAUAGAACCACCAACGCCUGACAAAGAGAAGAGUUUGGCGGCAUAGGUUCCGGCCCCCUACGUUUCGGCAUCUACAAAACCGCCUCUUGCUACUGUUGCAGGCUUCUAGUUCCAGUUCUGAAAGCGAAUAGUCCCAAGUUCAAAUCUGAGCUCUUCUUCUAACAAGCUAAAUGACUUUGGGAAAUGUACCUUCUCAAAAACAUCUGAGAGGAAUUGUCAGCAGGACCAGGCCCUGGAGGAAGACCAGCACAUGAUAGAGGAGCAUGAUCUUGAGAAGGAGGGAAGAAAACAGCGGCCAGUGAAGCAGGAGGGUCUGAGCAUAAAAGUUAAGGUGGAAGGAAAAUCCUCCAACUGCCAGAAGGCAUCAUUACUUUUCAGGUGUUGAGCACCCAAUAGACAGAUCAGCCUCAUGAACUGGGCGCUCUACCGCGCCACCUGCUAUGAUCUUUCCAGGUGCUCCCACAAACAACACUUUAGCUAACAAGCCUGAAGAUUGUUUGCUCAUCAGAAGGGUGCUUUAAGAAAUUACCCAUUUGUCUAGUACUAGAGGCGGCUGCAGUCACUGGCAUCCCAGAUGGUCCCACUUUUCAGCAUUACAGAUUCUAAGGGAGGAACCUGACAGCACAGUGGAGUUCCCUAUCCAGCAUCCACCUUCUUGUCUGCAUCCUAAAGGCAAAGAUGCACUGGUGGUCGUUUUCAAGCUUUAGAGUCCUUGGUAUUAUUACAGAAUAACCACAGCCCAAAUUCAGAUGGCACUUGCAUGUGCGUGCUAGUAACACCUCUGGUAAAUUCCAACAGUUGCCA